GUAUGUAUGUAUGUAUGUAAGUAGGUAUGUAUGUAGGUAGGUAGGUAGGUAGGUAGGUAGGUAGGUAGGUAGGUAUGUAUGUAUGUAUGUAUGUAUGUAUGUAAGUAUGUAUGUAUGUAUGUAUGUAUGUAUGUAUGUAUGUAUGUAUGUAUGUAUGUAUGUAUGUAUGUAUGUAUGUAAGUAUGUAUGUAUGUAUGUAUGUAUGUAUGUAUGUAUGUAUGUAUGUAUGUAUGUAUGUAUGUAAGUAGGUAUGUAUGUAUAUCAAAGAUUUCAAAGAUUGGCUUCUGUGUAGAUCAGGAUCACUUCCAAACACAUCUCCAAUUAUUAGUCUGCAA
ensembl:lncRNA